rnacentral:rRNA from 1 species
GGGGGCACCUGAUCAGCCAUGCCGCGUGAGUGAAGAAGGCCUUCGGGUUGUAAAGCUCUUUCGGCGGGGAAGAAAUGGCGACGGCUAAUAUCCGUUGUUGAUGACGGUACCCGCAUAAGAAGCACCGGCUAACUACGUGCCAGCAGCCGCGGUAAUACGUAGGGUGCGAGCGUUAAUCGGAAUUACUGGGCGUAAAGCGUGCGCAGGCGGUUUCGUAAGACAGACGUGAAAUCCCCGGGCUCAACCUGGGAACUGCGUUUGUGACUGCGAGGCUAGAGUACGGCAGAGGGGGGUAGAAUUCCACGUGUAGCAGUGAAAUGCGUAGAGAUGUGGAGGAAUACCGAUGGCGAAGGCAGCCCCCUGGGUUAGUACUGACGCUCAUGCACGAAAGCGUGGGGAGCAAACAGGAUUAGAUACCCUGGUAGUCCACGCCCUAAACGAUGUCAACUAGGUGUUGGAAGGGUUAAACCUUUUAGUACCGCAGCUAACGCGUGAAGUUGACCGCCUGGGGAGUACGGCCGCAAGGUUAAAACUCAAAGGAAUGGACGGAA